UAACGCAAAGAAUCUCAAUCUCCCCUUCGUUAUCCGCCCUUUCCGCUGCCCCUCUCCUUCUCUUUGAUAAUCGACUCUUCUAUCCUCCUUCAUUAUCUGAUCUCUCCCCUUCCCCUCUCCCUCUCUCUUUGAUAACGCCCAAAUCCGUGCUUUCCCCUGCCCCUCUCCCUCUCCCCCUCCCCCUCCCCAUCUCUAAAUUAAAUUGACGUUCGGACUCCUCGCUUCAGUUUCCCUCUCCCUCUCGCUAGCUAUCUCUAAAUUCAUCCUUAUUUCGACGAUCGAGCUCCUCACCUCAAUUCCUUCCGUUUUCAACCAUUGGCAAUGUAAGUAUGGAUAUUGGUAGUAACUGCUACGGCUUUCCAAUCCCUAUAAAUUAUGUUGUGAUUCUAUAAAUACCUUCUGCUUCAAUUUUGAUGGAACAAAGAAGGUUUUUUUUCCAAUUGUGUCGGAGAUUGAUUGGAGGAGUAGAAAGCUAUUAAGAUUGAUGUAUCGCAGGCUAUUGUAUGUGUUAUAGCGUUCCAGAUUGCAAAUUUUGGUGAGAGCAUGAUAGGUGCAGCACUACAAGAUAAGGAGGGUUUUCAAUGGCUCAACAACGACCUUGUCAAUGUAAUCAACAUCUCCAUCGGCAGCAUUCUGGCUUCUGAUGCAGCAGCUCAUUCUAAGGAGUUGACAGGGAUGACAUACCCUUGUUGACAUGUUAUCACGUUCCAUCAACCUAUGAGAACUCAUUGACGUUGACAUCCUUGUAUGAAGAGAAUAUCUCCAUGAACUGGAAGAGGGAGAAAUUCUGCUCCUGCUCAGCUUUCAGCAUCCACUGAGAAUGGAAGUAUUAUGCAAAAUUCUAAUAAGACUGUAAAGCCAUUCAGUGUGCAUCCCUUGCCUUCAUUUAUUCUCAGCCAUAAAAAAAACAGUGAUAAAAAAGAUGAUAAAUGAGGGUCACUCAACCAACAAGCAAGCAAUUGUUACUUCAAAUCGACUUUAUGACGAUGAAGAAGAACCAUCGAUUGAGGAGUAUUAUGAUGAUGAGGAGAGCUCUUAUGAAGUUAACAAAAAAAAUGAAGGUUGAGAAUUCAGAUCCUGAUUAUGUCCCUAGCGAAAAUGUUCCUACUACUGCUCAAGUCAAUUUUCUUUUGCUGCUAAGAUCAAAGACGAAGAAGAAGCAGAUAAAUUAUUUACUGAAGCUAUGGGCAUUCUUGCAGCUAUCUGGAAAUUUCAUCAGGAGAAUGAGUUGAGAUGUCUUAGUCUUAGAAGAAUAAAUGUCAAGUCAAUAAAUUUAGGUCUACGAGUUUGUGAAUCUUAUUGUUGGAAGUUUUUAUCAGCUUAGAUAAUGUGACAAAGAACUUAUGUUUAGAUCUUUAUGUUUCUUUAAUAUUGACUUUAUGAAUGAUACGGUUUGUGUGUUAAAUAUGAUAUAGUUUUCAAAUUUAUUACUUCAUUUUCAAAGCUUCACAAUUUUUUGUGUUGUUGCCUAUCCAAUUUUAAAUUUAUAUAAUGUAACAAACUCUUGUUGCCUUUUUAUAAUUGUAUGCAUAUACCCUUGAUUUAUCAAACCAAAUACUAUUUACAAGAGCAAAUUCGCUUUUGCGUAAGUGAUUGGGUGAUGAAACCAAAACUUACUUCUAACACUAUUUAUGUCUUCGAAUCUUUUAAGUCAAGAUUCGUUUUUUGGAAAACCUUGUUUUAUAAUGUAAAAACAUGAUAUUUAUGUGCAGUUACUUUUGUCUCUACUAAAAAUUUGCAGUCCUUUUUAUUUAUGCAAAUAGUCCACCAGUCAUCAUCCAUAAUUGUGUGUCAAUCACGAAUAGCUAAGUUAUCCACACAAAUCUUCUGCCCAUUUGAGAAAACAUAAGUUUCGGAUAACUGGGACUGAAGAAACAUCUAUCACGAGGAUUUUAGAGCACUGCAGGUCAGUCAUUCGCUAUGGAAUUUGACUAGAUUUUUAUCGAUGUACAUUUUCUUUUCAAAAGUAAUGAUUUAUAUAGUUUGUAUAGUAUUACAACAAUAGUUUUAUUACUGGUGCAAUUACAAUGUUGACUUAUUCAUAUCUCACAUUUCAAAAGAUUGAUAAUGUAUCAUCUGAUCGAGUUUCGGGAAUACGAUGUAUAUGUCGUUUGCUUUAAAUCAGCAUUGUGUGUUCUAUAUAUAUUGCUAACAUAUAUGUUACAUAAAGGUAUCUACAUUAAUAGAAACUAAAAUGGAUCAUUAUGUUACAAGCCUUCUUCGAUUCCAGGUUUCUCCGAACCAAUGCGGUCCAAAUAAGAGAGGCAUAUACGAGAUAGGAGAGCUUUUCUGCUCCAUAGCCUUUUUGUAGAUGUUGCAAUUUUUAGAGCGAUUGCUUCCAUACAGUAUGUAAUGGAAAAACGUAUUGCUUCUUCAAUUGAGAAAGAUGAAAUUUUGCACUUCGAGAUAGUAGGGGAUUUCAACAUUACUGUCACCAGAGAUACUUCAGAUGCAAGCUGCAAGUUGGAUACAAAGAUUGAUGGGAAUAGGAAAACGGGAAUGGACCGCAAACAUCUUAUAGAGAGAAACUUACUGAAAGGAAUCACUGCUGCUGAAAAGACAACAACUCAUGUGGGAUAAACUCUUAACUCUGUAUUCACUAUUAUUCUCUUUUAAUAAACUGUGAUACCAAGUGUUUUUCUUCUUCUUGUAUUCGUUGUUUCCUUUCUUUUCUUUUUUAUUCUUUCUUUUUUGUGAGGAAUUGUAUUCAUUG